UCCUUGUUAGCUCAGUUGGUAGAGCGUUCGGCUUUUAACCGAAAUGUCAUGGGGUUCGAGCCCCCUAUGAGGAG
rnacentral:tRNA from 1 species